UAAUAAGUGUUUUAUGGCACUUUUAAAUCCAUAUCCACCUUGUGUGCAAUGUCGGUCGAUCUUCUUGUUUGAGGAUCGACCAAACAUCAACCUUUAUUUUUUAACUCUUUGUCUGAAAAAUAUUAUGAAAUAAACAAUGCCAAAAUAC
rnacentral:misc_RNA from 1 species